rnacentral:rRNA from 1 species
GACGAACGCUGGCGGCGUGCUUAACACAUGCAAGUCGAACGGAAAGACCCUGCUUUUGUGGGGUGCUCGAGUGGCGAACGGGUGAGUAACACGUGAGUAACCUGCCCUUGACUUUGGGAUAACUUCAGGAAACUGGGGCUAAUACCGGAUAGGAGCUCCUGCUGCAUGGUGGGGGUUGGAAAGUUUCGGCGGUUGGGGAUGGACUCGCGGCUUAUCAGCUUGUUGGUGGGGUAGUGGCUUUCCAAGGCUUUGACGGGUAGCCGGCCUGAGAGGGUGACCGGCCACAUUGGGACUGAGAUACGGCCCAGACUCCUACGGGAGGCAGCAGUGGGGAAUAUUGCACAAUGGGCGGAAGCCUGAUGCAGCAACGCCGCGUGCGGGAUGACGGCCUUCGGGUUGUAAACCGCUUUCGCCUGUGACGAAGCGUGAGUGACGGUAAUGGGUAAAGAAGCACCGGCUAACUACGUG